rnacentral:other from 1 species
CUUCCUGCCCUGUUCGCGGACCGUGGCUAUUAUAACCCUACAAGUUUUUUAAUUGGGAGCUCUUGCUCGGCCGGCGGGUUUGCAGGCCUCCCGCCUUUUGGCGGACGUUGGAAGCACAAAACCGGACGGCGGGCACCCACCUGCUUUACGCAGGUUAUCAAUCGCCCCUUACGGCAGGGCGGGA